rnacentral:lncRNA from 1 species
AUAUAUAGAGUCCGGCUAUGGUGCUUAUAAAAGUACCAAGUAUUUAGGUACUUGUAAAUUUUUUACCGUUAGAUCUACGCCUUUGAUCAUUUUCACCCGUUAGAUUAUACUAUUCAACCAACCACCCACUUAACCCUAGGGGACCCACAUCAUCUUAACCGCACAUCCCUUAAUCCAAGGGCUAAAAACUUACAAGCACCAAUGACUUGGUACUUUUAAAAGCAUAGGAGCUCAAUUCUAUAUAUAUAUAUAUAUAUAUAUAUAUAUAUAUUAAAAAUAUUUUUAAAUACAAUAUAUUUUAAUUAUAUUUGGGCUGAAUUAUUUGAGUUUAUUUUAAUUGGGCCAUUGUUGUUGCCUUGUUGGCCCAUAAAACAAACCCAACAAAAGAAAUCACUCUAAAUUCACCCACUCAACUCUUUUACAAAACCCUAAAAUCCCAAUACCCAAAUCCUAAAAUCCUAAUCUUUUCCUCUCAUCUCAGGCUCUCAGCCUCUCACUCUCUCUUUUUCCCUCACACCGACUCCGAGUCUCCAAUUAAUAGGGCACCCAGCCACCCACCACUCACCAGUUACCAGUCACCACCGGUCCACCACCAAGCUUGUUUGUUGGCUCUAUUGCCCACGAUCCACCUCGUGCCGCUGUAGCCGAGCUCAUUGCCCAACGUCACCCCAAGCCCCAACCUCGUCUACUGCCGUCGCGAAACUCGUCGGCCACUGCCACGCGCCGUCGCCUCGACCUCGUCGGCCGCCGUUGCCGACCUCGUUGGCCACUGUCAUCGCAACCUCGACAACACAAGUGCUGACCUCGGCCGCUGCUGUCACUGCAGCCUCGACGCGGCCGCCG